rnacentral:lncRNA from 1 species
AAAUGAUGAUAUAAUUGAAUAUCUUUGGCCUGUAGUGCAAAGAUGAAUGAUUUUUGAUGAAUAUCUUUGGCCCAUAGUGCAAUGAUGAACAGGUGUUUAGAUGAACAUGACCAACUGAUGAAUAUCUUUGGCCUGUAGUGCAAAGAUGAAUAUUUGAUUCCAGAUAUAUAUUGAUUGAUGUUACAGGGAUAAAAUAUCGACGAUGA